UACGUAGGGGGCGAGCGUUGUCCGGAUUUACUGGGCGUAAAGGGCUCGUAGGCGGCCAACUAAGUCAGACGUGAAAUCCCUCAGCUUAACUGGGGAACUGCGUCUGAUACUGGAUGGCUUGGAUUCGGGAGAGGAAUGCGGAAUUCCCGGUGUAGCGGUGAAAUGCGCAGAUAUCGGGAGGAACACCAAUGGCGAAGGCAGCUCGCUGGGACGUUACUGACGCUAAGGCGCGAAAGCCAGGGGAGCGAACGGG
rnacentral:rRNA from 1 species